UACGUAGGGUGCGAGCGUUAAUCGGAAUUACUGGGCGUAAAGCGUGCGCAGGCGGUUCGUGAUGUCUGAUGUGAAAUCCCCGGGCUCAACCUGGGAAUAGCAUUUGGGACUGCAAGGCUGGAGUUUGGCAGAGGAGACUGGAAUUCCCGGUGUAGCAGUGAAAUGCGUAGAUAUCGGGAGGAAUACCGAUGGCGAAGGCAGGUCUCUGGGCCGAUAUUGACGCUGAGGAGCGAAAGCGUGGGGAGCAAACAGG
rnacentral:rRNA from 1 species